GACGAACGCUGGCGGCGUGCUUAACACAUGCAAGUCGAACGGAAAGGCCCUGCUUUUGUUGGGUGCUCGAGUGGCGAACGGGUGAGUAACACGUGAGUAACCUGCCCUUGACUUUGUGAUAACUUCACGAAACUGGGGCUAUUACCGGAUAGGAGCUCCUGCUGCACGGUGUUGGUUGGAAAAAUUCGGCGGUUCGGGAUGGUCUCGCGGCUUCUCAGCUUCUUAGUGGGGUAGUGGCUUACCAAGCCUUUGACGGGUAGCCGGCCUGGGAGGGUGACCAGCGACAUUGGGACUGCGAUACGGACCAGAAUCCAACGGGAGGCAGCAGUGGGGAAUAUUGCACAAUGGGCGGAAGCCUGAUGCAGCAACGCCGCGUGCGGGAUGACGGCCUUCGGGCUGUAAACAGCUUUGGCAUGUGACGAAGAGUGAGUGACGGUAAUGGGUAAAGAAGCACCGGCUAACUACGUG
rnacentral:rRNA from 1 species